ensembl:antisense Gm14002 predicted gene 14002
GAUUCAUAGGGCCUGUGUGCUUUGUGGUCUGCCCGACUUGAACAGCGUCUGCCUCGGGCUUCUGCUGCCAGAGAUGAAGCAAGUCAUGACGGCUCAUCUUGAGCCAAAGUAAAUCUUUCCUCCUUUACAGGGGUUUUUAUUCUGUUUCGGUUUUGUUCAGAAGACCAUGAAAGCAUAAGCAGAAGAAACCAGAGUUCCGAGAGGUUAAAUAAUGUGUGUGACUGUCAUGGAGCAAGGUCAGGACUUGAGCACAGAGGGUCAAGGCCCACAGGUUGAGAACUGCUACUCUACUCCUUUUCAGUGACUCAAUCAUGAUAUCUGCCUGCCCUUCGCUCUUAUAGAUUUUAAGAGAGAAUUCCAGGGCUGUAGUGGAGGAAGUAAAUGACCUUGAGGUUGUCAGUUGAGAGCAGGUUUUGAAUAACUUUCUUCCUGCACACCCCAAAACAACUCUAGUGAGACCAGAUACCCAGACUUUGCUGAACAGCCAUCACCGUGUUCCCAAGUGCUUCAUAAACCAGCCACACAGUAAACGACUGGAGAGACUGCAUUUUGAAAUUGGAUUUAGUGGCCAAAAUUGCCUCAUGAGUUCUACUGUGCCAUUUUUUAAAAAGACGUCAUUUAGGGGCUUAUAAUUCACCAUCUGCUUUGAAUCUUAAGGACAGCAGAAGGAGGAGCAGAGAAAGCCAGAGGGCAGUCGUAUUCUCGCCCAUCUCACAACCCCCUUUUCCUUUAUUCAUUAUUAAAUUAGAACUCUUUCCUUGGCCAAUCACCUUGAAGCCGCACGUGCUUACGUGGAUCAGUUGCUGAUGCCUAGGUGGAGUCAGGCUGGAUUGACAGCAGGAUGGCAGGGAGCAGUCCUGCAGCCCUGCCUUCCAAUCAAGCAAUUAUUUACUGCUAGGCCAUCUGUCUUUAUUUUGCAAAGCCACUCGAUCAGACACAGCAGUAUCACCGUGCUCUGAGCGGGUCAUAAAUCGCGUGGUACUUACACAGGGUACUCAAUUGCGACUCACACUCUAUCACUUUGUUUACCACCAGUGCAAUCUGGAUUCUUUGUUGUAAUUGGCAAACUUGCUAAAUACCUCUGGGAUGUGAAAAAUAUGAAAUGUCACAUUUUUUUGGUGUGUUGUCAGGCAAUAAAUUAAUUUAUUAAGAAGAAACAUUAGUCAUCAGUACCGGGUGACUUGCCGCAGUGAACGAGUUAUAAUGUUAUGAGCAUCGAUCUUAUUUAUACAAAAAGUUAUUGUCGUAUGAGUCUGUGACACAGUAUAGAAACAACUGCCAUUAGCUGGUAAAUUACCAGGAAAGCUGAUUUCUACUCAGUGGUUUAUUAACUGUAGUAUAUGGGCUCUGAAUUGCUAAUGUUUCCCUUAAAUUAUAAUCUGUGAUGACACUGCAGUGCCCAUGUUGGGAAAGCUAUGAUGAUAAUCAUUAACAUACUGUAAUGCAAUACUGAAGAUUUAUCAGGCUCUUAUUAAGCCCUACAUUACAGUAUAAUAUAAUGAACUGCAAGUUUGUUUCUUCUAAUCCAAAAUCUACUAUGAAGCUUGUGCCAUAAAUUACUGAAGCUUCAUAACAAAGCAUGGGGCUGUGGCAUCAAGCUAAUUUCUGUCAUUAUGUUUGUUUGUUUUUAUCUCACAUGUUCUCUGCGUAUUUGUGUGACAUUGCAUUUUUGUUUACCUAGACAGUUGGUACUUAUUUUAUUAACAUCUAACUGUAUUUUCCCAUCUUAGUUAAGAAGUAGAAAGUAUCCAAACAUCAAAGCUGAUCUAAACACUACUUGUUCUUUGGGAAAUUUAAAGGAGCUGUAGUUCAGGAUUCUUUGAGAAACACUACAUAUUCUAGUAGUGGCUUCAUGGGAAUAAACUCGAAGUACAUUCCGGUGCCUGGAGCAGUGAAAGGUAGUAGAGGUGAUGUUUUCAGCUCCAUCACAUAUAUCAGCUUGAAGAGACUAACAUAAUAUACAAAGCAAAUGCACAAUCUAAAUGCAAGCUGCAUGUUUUUCAUUCUUGCUUUUAGAUAGAAAAUAUAACGGCAGCAAAGUCAGAAAAAAAAGUCAAAGUAGAUAGGACAGGACUGACUCCAAGGCUACAAGGUGGAUCUGACCAGGAAGCCUUUUUCCUGAGGAUUAGCUUUUAUAGUACCAGAAGGUUCUAUGGAAGCUUCCAUAGGAGGGAAGCAGUCCAUAGCCUUACCCAGCUCUGAUGUCCAUGAACUACAAUGACCAGCAUGGUAAGAUGCAAUAGUGGCACUUAUAGCUUGGCAGUAACCAACAGCUCUCUAAUUGGACUUAAGGCCAGCUCAACAUGAGGGAGCCCAUGCCUAGUUCUGGAGACCUGCCAGCUACCCACGACUCGUGAAGUCAUGGACCUUAGAGGAGAACAUACCACUGCCACUUUACUAAAGCAGCAGCAUCCUUAACUGAAUUCUAAGGGCUUAUACUCAUGGCCUUAAAAGAGUAGUCUUCAUUCCUCAUCCAAGAAACUUCUCUUUCCAGUAGAUGGGGAGAAUGACAGAAACCAUACCUGACCAAGAUGCAGAGAAGAACUGACCGCGUGUUGCCUAGCCCCAACUGGCACAUCUACAACACAGCUCAUGCAUCUAAGGCUCAGGGGACAGCAUGGCAGAGAUGGCAUAAUGAUUGUAAGAGCUAGAGAACCAGGAAAUCUGCUGUGGGAGAGUGUGUCUCCUAGACAUGACCGGCAAAUUUUUCCUGUGACAACUCAACAAUAUGGCUGCCUAAGCAAGACCUGAACAAGGAUUCCAACACUAUUAUUCUAGAGAAAUCUAGACUAUAUAUAUACCCUUGCAAUUAAAAAAAAUUAGUUUCUUAGCUU